rnacentral:sRNA from 1 species
UGAUUUCUUUUGACAUGCGUACGCCGAC